UACGUAGGGGGCGAGCGUUAAUCGGAAUUACUGGGCGUAAAGCGUGCGCAGGCGGUUGUAUAAGUCAGAUGUGAAAUCCCCGGGCUCAACCUGGGAACUGCAUUUGAGACUGUAUGGCUAGAGUUUGGCAGAGGGGGGUGGAAUUCCACGUGUAGCAGUGAAAUGCGUAGAGAUGUGGAGGAACACCGAUGGCGAAGGCAGCCCCCUGGGCCCAUACUGACGCUCAUGCACGAAAGCGUGGGGAGCAAACAGG
rnacentral:rRNA from 1 species